GAGAUAAUAGUUUAACGGAAAAACGAUUCCCUGCCCGGAAUCGAUGCAUGUUCGAAUCGUGCUUAUCUCC
rnacentral:tRNA from 2 species